GACGAACGCUGGCGGCGUGCUUAACACAUGCAAGUCGAACGGAAAGGCCCUGCUUUUGUGGGGUGCUCGAGUGGCGAACGGGUGAGUAACACGUGAGUAACCUGCCCUUGACUUUGGGAUAACUUCAGGAAACUGGGGCUAAUACCGGAUAGGAGCUCCUGCUGCAUGGUGGGGGUUGGAAAGUUUCGGCGGUUGGGGAUGGACUCGCGGCUUAUCAGCUUGUUGGUGGGGUAGUGGCUUACCAAGGCUUUGACGGGUAGCCGGCCUGAGAGGGCGACCGGCCACAUUGGGACUGAGAUACGGCCCAGACUCCUACGGGAGGCAGCAGUGGGGAAUAUUGCACAAUGGGCAGAAGCCUGAUGCAGCAACGCCGCGUGCGGGAUGACGGCCUUCGGGUUGUAAACCGCUUUCGCCUGUGACGAAGCGUGAUUGACGGUAAUGGGUAAAGAAGCACCAGCUAACUACGUG
rnacentral:rRNA from 1 species